rnacentral:lncRNA from 1 species
CGUCAAUAACUUGAUGAUAAUAAAUAAAUUUAAAUAAAUAAUAUUAUUUUAUGAUCCAGUGAGCGCUUUUUUUUUAUUUAAAAAUUAUCGAGAAAGUUAACACAAGCUUGUUGAAAUGUUCUAUUUCAUUAAGUGUAGUAGUGUUUGUUAACUCGUUUUACUGUCGAGGAUUAAGGUCGAGGUUAUGUGUGGUUACGUUUAAGAUGUUGGACAAUGGAAAUCCUGAAGUAAACAAUUGCGUUUGUUUUUACUGGAAUAAUGAAAAGUACUUGGGAACUAUUGUGAAUAUCCCAAUAUGCUAAAUUGAAAAAGUUAGCCAAGAAAUUUAACAAAAAGGAGGACACUGAAAAGGAGUCAUCACUUCCUGAAAGAAGACUGCGAAAACCUUAAUGCUCGUCAUUUACUAAAAACGAAAAUUCUGCUUCCCAAACAUAAAUCUAAGAGAAAAAGUUUUAGGUAAUAUAUUGGAUUCUGAUGUACCAGUGAGUAAUCUGAAGCAACAAGUCAAAAAAUUUAUCCAUAAAACACAGAAGAUUCAAGAAAAGAUUCCAAGUCUCCGGCACUGAAAUCUGAUUAUGAGAAUAAAUUCAAAUAAAGAGGAAUUGAAAAUGAUAAUUUUAGAGCAAGCAAAGCUUCAAAAUUCUGAUAAAAAAUUGUGUGAAAAUUAUGCUUUCUAAAGUAGGAUGGCCGAAAGUAAACCCCCUGAAAAGUGCAAUGAGCUAUGUCCCAGUUGAUCGGAGAGAAGAGACAGAUCAAUAAAAAUAUUGAUAAAAGUUCUUGAUAUUAUCAAUAUUAAAGAUCGUUAUUCAUUCAUAAUUAUUGCUAUUGUUUUACUUUUUAUUUUUCAGUCUGUAACAUUGUUCAGUAAUGUAAUUUGAUUUUAUUUUUAUUUUUCAUUAAUUGCCAAUGCCAACUAAGAUCAAAUUAAUAUUUGAUCUUAGUUGGCAUACCGCUUAGCAAAAUGAGAAGUUUU